rnacentral:snRNA from 1 species
AGAUGUGAGGGCGAUCUGGCUGCGACAUCUGUCACCCCAUUGAUUGCCAGGGUUGAUUCGGCUGAUCUGGCUGGCUAGGUGGGUGUCCUCUUCCUCCCUCAGCGCUCCAUGUGCGUCCCUCCCGAAGCUGCGUGCUCGGUCGAAGAGGACGGCCUUCCCCGAAUAGAGACGGACUGGUCUUCGGUCGAGGGUAUACGAGUAGCUGCGUUCCCCUGCUAGAACCUCCAAACAAGCUCUCAAGAAUUGUGAAGAAUCUAUCUGUCUGUAAAAGACCAGAUUACUGCAUCAAGUAAUGAAGUCAAUGCAUUACACUGU